UACAGAGGGUGCAAGCGUUAAUCGGAAUUACUGGGCGUAAAGCGUGCGUAGACGGUUAUGUAAGUCAGAUGUGAAAGCCCCGGGCUCAACCUGGGAAUUGCAUUUGAGACUGCAUAGCUAGGGUGCGGAAGAGGGAAGCGGAAUUUCCGGUGUAGCGGUGAAGUGCGUAGAUAUCGGAAGGAACACCAGUGGCGAAAGCGGCUUCCUGGUCCAGCACCGACGUUCAGGCACGAAAGCGUGGGGAGCAAACAGG
rnacentral:rRNA from 1 species